GAUGAACGCUGACAGAAUGCUUAACACAUGCAAGUCAUUGGCGAAGCUGCGCUUGCGCAGUCUAGCCAAGGCGGACGGGUGAGUAACGCGUAAGGAACUUGCCCUGCAGACAGGGAUAACAGACGGAAACGACUGAUAACACCUGGUAUUGUCAGGCUGGCGCAUGCCGGCCUGAUGAAAGGAGACGCUGCAGGAGAGCCUUGAGUCCUAUUAGCUAGUUGGUGGGGUAACGGCCCACCAAGGCGAUGAUAGGUAGCCGGCCUGAGAGGGUGAACGGCCACAAGGGGACUGAGAUACGGCCCUUACUCCUACGGGAGGCAGCAGUGGGGAAUAUUGGACAAUGGGGGCAACCCUGAUCCAGCAAUUCUGUGUGCACGAAGAAGGUUUUCGGAUUGUAAAGUGCUUUCAGCAGGGAAGAAGAAAGUGACGGUACCUGCAGAAGAAGCGACGGCUAAAUACGUG
rnacentral:rRNA from 1 species